CGAAAGGGUGACGAAGCGACGCCGCGUGUGGGAAGAAGGCCUUCGGGUUGUAAACCACUGUCAGGAGUUAAGAAGUGUAAGGAUACUAAUAGUGUCCUUACUUGACUAAGGCUCCAGAGGAAGCCACGGCUAACUCUGUGCCAGCAGCCGCGGUAAUACAGAGGUGGCAAGCGUUGUUCGGAAUUAUUGGGCGUAAAGAGCACGUAGGCGGUUCUGCAAGUCGGCUGUGAAAGCCUUCCGCUCAACGGAAGAACAGCAGUUGAUACUACAGGACUAGAGUGCGGGAGGGGAGAGUGGAACUUCUGGUGGAGCGGUGAAAUGCGUAGAUAUCAGAAGGAACGCCGGCGGCGAAAGCGACUCUCUGGCCCGUAACUGACGCUGAGUGUGCGAAAGCUAGGGGAGCAAACGGGAUUAGAUACCCCGGUAGUCCUAGCCGU
rnacentral:rRNA from 1 species